UGCAAGUCGAACGGAAAGGCCCUUCGGGGUACUCGAGUGGCGAACGGGUGAGUAACACGUGGGUGAUCUGCCCUGCACUUUGGGAUAAGCCUGGGAAACUGGGUCUAAUACCGAAUAGGACCAUGGCAUGCAUGUGCUGUGGUGGAAAGCUUUUGCGGUGUGGGAUGGGCCCGCGGCCUAUCAGCUUGUUGGUGGGGUGAUGGCCUACCAAGGCGACGACGGGUAGCCGGCCUGAGAGGGUGUCCGGCCACACUGGGACUGAGAUACGGCCCAGACUCCUACGGGAGGCAGCAGUGGGGAAUAUUGCACAAUGGGCGCAAGCCUGAUGCAGCGACGCCGCGUGAGGGAUGACGGCCUUCGGGUUGUAAACCUCUUUCGCCAGGGACGAAGCGCAAGUGACGGUACCUGGAGAAGAAGCACCGGCCAACUACGUGCCAGCAGCCGCGGUAAUACGUAGGGUGCGAGCGUUGUCCGGAAUUACUGGGCGUAAAGAGCUCGUAGGUGGUUUGUCGCGUUGUUCGUGAAAACUCACAGCUUAACUGUGGGCGUGCGGGCGAUACGGGCAGACUGGAGUACUGCAGGGGAGACUGGAAUUCCUGGUGUAGCGGUGGAAUGCGCAGAUAUCAGGAGGAACACCGGUGGCGAAGGCGGGUCUCUGGGCAGUAACUGACGCUGAGGAGCGAAAGCGUGGGGAGCGAACAGGAUUAGAUACCCUGGUAGUCCACGCCGUAAACGGUGGGUACUAGGUGUGGGUUUCCUUCCUUGGGAUCCGUGCCGUAGCUAACGCAUUAAGUACCCCGCCUGGGGAGUACGGCCGCAAGGCUAAAACUCAAAGGAAUUGACGGGGGCCCGCACAAGCGGCGGAGCAUGUGGAUUAAUUCGAUGCAACGCGAAGAACCUUACCUGGGUUUGACAUGCACAGGACGCCGGCAGAGAUGUCGGUUCCCUUGUGGCCUGUGUGCAGGUGGUGCAUGGCUGUCGUCAGCUCGUGUCGUGAGAUGUUGGGUUAAGUCCCGCAACGAGCGCAACCCUUGUCUCAUGUUGCCAGCACGUUAUGGUGGGGACUCGUGAGAGACUGCCGGGGUCAACUCGGAGGAAGGUGGGGAUGACGUCAAGUCAUCAUGCCCCUUAUGUCCAGGGCUUCACACAUGCUACAAUGGCCGGUACAAAGGGCUGCGAUGCCGUGAGGUGGAGCGAAUCCUUUCAAAGCCGGUCUCAGUUCGGAUCGGGGUCUGCAACUCGACCCCGUGAAGUCGGAGUCGCUAGUAAUCGCAGAUCAGCAACGCUGCGGUGAAUACGUUCCCGGGCCUUGUACACACCGCCCGUCACGUCAUGAAAGUCGGUAACACCCGAAGCCGGUGGCCU
rnacentral:rRNA from 1 species